rnacentral:sRNA from 1 species
AUGUACGCGGUGUACACUCCGGUGCCUCCGCUCCGGCGGCCGCCACCAGGCGCCCGCUCGCUACGUUUUGAAGCC